AUUGAACGCUGGCGGAAUGCUUUACACAUGCAAGUCGAACGACAGCACGGGGGCAACCCUGGUGGCGAGUGGCGAACGGGUGAGUAAUACAUCGGAACGUGCCCGGUCGUGGGGGAUAACGUAGCGAAAGUUACGCUAAUACCGCAUACGAUCUGAGGAUGAAAGCGGGGGACCUUCGGGCCUCGCGCGAUCGGAGCGGCCGAUGUCAGAUUAGGUAGUUGGUGGGGUAAAGGCCUACCAAGCCGACGAUCUGUAGCUGGUCUGAGAGGACGACCAGCCACACUGGGACUGAGACACGGCCCAGACUCCUACGGGAGGCAGCAGUGGGGAAUUUUGGACAAUGGGCGCAAGCCUGAUCCAGCCAUUCCGCGUGCAGGACGAAGGCCUUCGGGUUGUAAACUGCUUUUGUAUGGAACGAAAAGGCUCUGGCUAAUACCUGGGGCUCAUGACGGUACCGUAAGAAUAAGCACCGGCUAACUACGUG
rnacentral:rRNA from 1 species